CCUACGGGAGGCAGCAGUGAGGAAUAUUGGUCAAUGGACGCGAGUCUGAACCAGCCAAGUAGCGUGAAGGAUGACUGCCCUAUGGGUUGUAAACUUCUUUUAUAUGGGAAUAAAAUGUUCCACGUGUGGGUUUUUGUAUUUACCAUAUGAAUAAGGAUCGGCUAACUCCGUGCCAGCAGCCGCGGUAAUACGGAGGAUCCGAGCGUUAAACGGAUUUAUUGGGUUUAAAGGGAGCGUAGGUGGAUUGUUAAGUCAGUUGUGAAAGUUUGCGGCUCAACCGUAAAAUUGCAGUUGAAACUGGCAGUCUUGAGUACAGGAGAGGUGAGCGGAAUUCGUGGUGUAGCGGUGAAAUGCUUAGAUAUCACGAAGAACUCCGAUUGCGAAGGCAGCUCACUGGACUGCAACUGACACUGAGGCUCGAAAGUGUGGGUAUCAAACAGGAUUAGAUACCCGAGUAGUC
rnacentral:rRNA from 1 species